ACGCUGGCGGCAGGCCUAACACAUGCAAGCCGAGCGGUAGAGAGAAGCUUGCUUCUCUUGAGAGCGGCGGACGGGUGAGUAAUGCCUAGGAAUCUGCCUGGUAGUGGGGGAUAACGUUCGGAAACGGACGCUAAUACCGCAUACGUCCUACGGGAGAAAGCAGGGGACCUUCGGGCCUUGCGCUAUCAGAUGAGCCUAGGUCGGAUUAGCUAGUUGGUGGGGUAAUGGCUCACCAAGGCGACGAUCCGUAACUGGUCUGAGAGGAUGAUCAGUCACACUGGAACUGAGACACGGUCCAGACUCCUACGGGAGGCAGCAGUGGGGAAUAUUGGACAAUGGGCGAAAGCCUGAUCCAGCCAUGCCGCGUGUGUGAAGAAGGUCUUCGGAUUGUAAAGCACUUUAAGCUGGGAGGAAGGGUUGUAGAUUAAUACUCUGCAAUUUUGACGUUACCGACAGAAUAAGCACCGGCUAACUCUGUGCCAGCAGCCGCGGUAAUACAGAGGGUGCAAGCGUUAAUCGGAAUUACUGGGCGUAAAGCGCGCGUAGGUGGUUAGUUAAGUUGGAUGUGAAAUCCCCGGGCUCAACCUGGGAACUGCAUUCAAAACUGACUGACUAGAGUAUGGUAGAGGGUGGUGGAAUUUCCUGUGUAGCGGUGAAAUGCGUAGAUAUAGGAAGGAACACCAGUGGCGAAGGCGACCACCUGGACUGAUACUGACACUGAGGUGCGAAAGCGUGGGGAGCAAAC
rnacentral:rRNA from 1 species